rnacentral:rRNA from 1 species
UACGUAGGGGGCAAGCGUUGUCCGGAUUUAUUGGGCGUAAAGAGCGUGUAGGCGGCCAGACAGGUCCGUUGUGAAAACUCGAGGCUCAACCUCGAGACGCCGAUGGAAACCGUUUGGCUAGAGUCCGGAAGAGGAGAGUGGAAUUCCUGGUGUAGCGGUGAAAUGCGCAGAUAUCAGGAGGAACACCGGUGGCGAAGGCGGCAUCCUGGACCACGACUGACGCUGAGUGAGCGAAAGCCAGGGGAGCAAACGGG